CCCCCGGCCACCAAAGCAGAGCGUGCAAACUUAACCACUACACCACUGGUCCAGCCCUUAAUGCUUAAUUUGUAUUUAAUUACUGCUCCUUAACUGAGAUGCUAGCAUGUCAACAGUUGAAAUAGUUAUUUAGUGUGGUGGACGUAUUUCAAGGGAGAGUCUUCUGGAACAUUUUGCAAAGGAUUGCUAUUUAUAAAAUCUCACAUAAGUCUUGGGAGAAUCUGCACUGAAAUCUUGGAAGGUAAACACCGAAUGAUUCCUUCUGACAGGACUGGUUAAAAAUGCCUCCUCCAGGCCGUGAUUUCUCAGAACAGCCCCAUUAAUCAGGCAAGGCAGGUGGCCAUGGGGCCUGCGUGUCUCGAGCAAUGCCCUUCAUGGGAUCAGUAACAAGCAGAAAGGCUUCUGAAGAGAAAAUAUGGUUCCUGCUAAAGAGAGGAACACAGGGAAGAAUUGCUGCCUAACUCCUUUGAUGAAAAUGGCAUUUUCUCUAGUCAAACUUUUCUCAAUUUCGGUUUCACUCCGUUGUCCUUGAAUAUGCUUCCAAGAGGGGGGCAAAAAAAGAAAGAACCCAGCCAGCAUAUAUUUCAAAACAAUGCCGUUUUCCUCUCUCAGUAAAAGUUGAAUCCCAAGUGCACACUUUUAUUGCAGAAAGCAUUUGCUGGUGCUUUUUCAGAGUACUCAGUGUGACAUGCUAAGUCAUUGGCUCUGAGAAUAUUGGCGAGAACUUUGUCUUGAGAUGAUUAGUAAGCAAGUUAAAGAUAAAUCCACAACGACAUCUUUCACAUAGCUAAUGAAGUCUUUUGGGACAGCCAAUACUAAUUCCCCUCAGAGGGAUGAUUCAGACUUGCGUUAUUUUUUUUAAUGCUUUGUUCUCGCUCUUUCUAUACUACACAUUCUAUGCUGGUGGUCACAAAGCACUUUUGUGUAUAUUAACUCAUAUGCCCCUCAGAAGGAUCCUGUAGGUGGGUGUGGCAGUUACUAUAGAGAUGAGGAAACUGAGGCUCAGAGAGGUUACCCAACUUGGCGUAGGCAGCACAGCCAGGAUGCGUUUGCUGGAGACUAGAACCAUCUGACUUCCGGUCCAGGGCUGUUGCUUUGUGUAGGCAAGAUUCACCUCUUUGAGAUUUUUUAUUUCCAUUCUUCUUAAAACCCUCUAGCUUAUUUUAAAUGAGCAUACUAAACCACUAUAAAUAAACAUCCUUUGCUAUUCAUUUUUGAUAGCAAUAGAAGGAGUUUUAAAAGCAAACAAAGGCCAAAGAAAGAUUAUUUGAGCACAAAUAACAUAAUAGGAGAUUUUGCUUAAGUAUUUGACUCUGUUCAAAGGACAAAAUACUCUGUAUACCCUUACAGAACCAAGAUUUUUUUUUUCCCCUUCAGGACAUGUGAAAACUCUGAAUCAGAUCUUUCUAUUCCAGGCUUCUAUAGCAUCCUGUAAUUUCCUGUAAUUGCCAUUCAUUGCAGUUUUCAAUUAUAUAUUUAUUUGUAUAAUUAUGUAAAUAUCUGUUUAGGGGGUGUAAGUGUCUUUAGGAUGGAGAUUGUAUCCCUUUUAUUCAGAUUUUAUUCCCAGCUUAUCACAAGGCACCUGGGGGAACUCAGUAAGUUUCUGUUAGCAGGAUGGAUGGAGGGAUAGACAGAUAGAAGGAAAAAUCACUAUGUGAGUCUUUGAUUUGCAAGUUCUAGCACAGGAUCCUGGAACCCUGGAGGGAACUCUAGAGACUCUCUUGCCCACUUUUGUUAAAGGUGAACAAAUGGCUUUUUAAUCAAGAAAAACAUUGUCUCUUACCUAAUUCCAGAAAGAAGAAAAAUAGAAGAAUAAUGUUCGAUGUAAGCUGUGUGAUGGAAAUAGAACCAACAUUAUUCCAAGAAAAUAGGCAGAUAAUGUAUUUCAAGGUAUCUGCAUUUAAUAGAUUACAGAAUUCUUGUCAUGCAUUUGUUUCUCUUUAUUUCUAUCACUGAAUAAGAAGAGAGAAAGAGAGAGUGAUGGGGAGGGCAUUUUUAUUUUCUGACAGUAUGAAGCUUGUAAAUUAUACUGGUUUUUCCCCAAGUUUAUAUUUCAGAAAACAUUUUUUUCCUUUGUCCUCUCUUUUGCUUUUUUCUCCUUUUCCUUCCCUCCUCUUCUUCCCCCUUUCCUCCUUCAACUAUUUAAUUAUUUCCAUGACAGCAUUCCAGACUUUCUCUGAUUUUAGUGGGAAGAGCAUAUAUGCUCUGAAUCUGAGAUCACAUAAUCCAUUGCCAUGAAAUUUGACAAGACUUUUGAACACUGCUGAUUGUCCUAAAUUGCUCUCAUUUAUUAUUAUCAUUUUUUAGUCAGAUGGGACAUGAUGACUCUUUAAUUUAAUUCUUCAUAGCUUACUAUUUCUUAAGCAUUCCAAAAAUGUGUGUUAUCAUCUUAUCUCCUGAUAUACCCUAGACUAAACUGGAGUGAAGGUGAAAAUUUCCAUAAUUGUCUAAUUCUUAUUGACCCUCAAGAAACUUUCCUGUUAGAUGCCAAAAUUCAGCUUUUGGAGUAACUUUAUGGGAUCCAUGGUUCAACUUAAGAACCUUGGCCGCUCCUUCUGAAAGAGGUGCCAGCUGAUAAUCACCAGAAAAGAACUAUGUAUGAUGCAUAAACCCAAGCUCUGAAAGAAAAAUAACUGGAUAAGUAAAAGGGAAUUGCUAAGAGGAAGAAAAAUCUAAACCAUCUAAUUUUGAACAUUUACAAAUAUGCUGUAUUUGUUGAAAAUGAACCUAAGAAGUGGUCUUUUAUGCUUAAGCAAAGCUGACGUUCACAGAUUUGGAGAAAAUAUUUCUUUUGGAAUGUCCUGGUAAAAUUAUCUUGGGUUUGGUUGUGCACCCGAAAUCGAUCAUUCAAAAAUAAUCUGAAUAGUUUUUAUUUGAGAAUUUAUGGCUUUUACUUAAAAACAUUUUCAAGUUCCUAUUAAGUUUUCAAUAGGUUGGCUUAGAGGACACUGUAAGAAGGUACUGAUGUGAUCUGAAGAUGGGAUUGCUGAAGUAUUGCACAUAUUUUCAAUCCUUGCAUAAUAAAUUACCAAUAAUUAUCUAUAUUUUCAUGUCUAUAUCUUCAUUUAACAAUGAUUUUCUUAAUAAAAAUGUUUUCAUCCCCUUACCUAAAACUACAUGUUAGACUGAGGCUGGGUCAUUUGAAAACAUUAUAAAAUUUGUGAAUAAAAUAAUACAUGGGACCUGCUUGAUUUCAAACCUGUCAUUAUGUGGCCUUGUGGCCUUGGUUACCAUUCUAGAAUGUUCUUUGUCUUUUGGGGGCAAAGCUUAAGAGAAACAUUUAAGGAAACACCCACUUGGAAGGAAGAACCAAGAGUUGACUCCAUUCCAAGUGAUCCACUACCAAGUAAUCUGGUCACCAUGUUAGCUCCAUCCGAAUGGUGUGUGAGAUGCUGAGGGUGACUGGACACAGAGUGGAGUCCUGCCCAGGAGCACGUGAUAGACGGGACCAGGCAGGCAGCAUUGCAAACCAGCCUCUGCUCCUCUAGCAGAGCGUGUGGCUUGGCAUGGGGGAGUGGUGUCAGUCCAGAGGAAGAGGCACCUCUUAGCAAUCCAUCAGCCAAGAGAGAUGCCUUUGUGUAAUUAUCUUCCCAGAAGACCCAUGAAAUAUCAAACGCUGGACACUUUUCAAAACAAAACAUUUUACAAAACAAAAGACGGCUCAUGAGGACCACCAGUGACCUCGGAGGGGUCAUCAGUAGCUCUUAAGAUCACAUUUUGGAGAAAAGUCGUCAGAUCUAAAGUUACCUAACUUUUAGACUCAGAAUUGAAACAAUUGUGAGCUUUGGGUCAUCAUAUUCUAAGUGAUAUUGUAUGAAAAGUCGUAUAUUAAAGAAUCAAAAUCAUUGUUUCCUUAUGGCCAUUUCUUCUCUGUUACUCUUGAAGGAACGGUGUGAGGCAUCCCACACAUUAGGCAGCCUCAGAAAAAUGGAAGAAAAAUUAGUUCUGGUUUACCCCAGGGAUGCUAGAAAGCCCUGGAACAUGAAGGUCAAACCUGGCACAUUCUCAUUCCCUGAGAUGGACCUCCAAGAUAUCUUUCUUCUUCUAUCUCCACCCUACCAUUGACACAAGCCUUCCCCAUGCCUGGAGUGUCAUGGCAGGCGUGGGCUGACGUCAAAGAAGAGCAGCUCCCAAAGAAAGGAGGAAAGAGCCGUGUGUCACCCACAAUUUGCUUCAGUCAGACAGCUCUGUGCCCUCAGAUCACUUCUACAAAAUGCCUCCUGAGAGCCCUACAUCCCUCAAAGGCCAUAGGAACAGAAAGUUCUCUGGGUUACUCUUCUGUUUCCAGGCAAGGAAAGAAUACUUUCUUAUCUGAACACAGAAUCUCCAGCCCCACCACUCUUCAAGGUCAGAGCUCCUAUUGUUCUGAAACUCAAAUUUUAUCAUGCCUGACUUUUGCUUCAAAUCUUUUCAUGACCUCCUCGUUGUCUAGAGGAGAAACUAAUUAAUGUCCUCUUCCCUUAGUUUUAUAUGCUAGUAUGAUAAACAAGCUUCUUCGCAAGCUGGCUCUCACCUACUAUUCCAGGCUCAAGUUUAAAUUCUUAUUCAGUGUUGCCCCUGGCAAAGAACUUAACAUCUUGGGCCUCAGUUUCCUUAUCAGUAAAAUGAGAAUAAUAGAUGCCUAACUCACAGAGCUGCAAUGAGAGUUAAACGAGUAAAUAUCUGUGAAGCACUUAGCCCAGGUCUGGCCUUGCAAGUGUUCAGUUAAUGCUGCUGUUUUGAGGGUUUCGUUUUCACCUCUCACUCCUCCACAGGGACCUGUUGGAUAACCCAAACAGUUCUUUGCAAUUCCCCAAAAGGGCCAGACUCUGGGCCUUGGCACGCCCUGCUCCUAUGUCACAUAAUACUCCCCUCUUUGCUGAUUCAGCUCCUUCUUCCAGGCCCUACAGACUUGUGAAGACAGCUCCAUCACUGUCUUGACAUGAAGCUAGGAUUUGCUUUUAAGGCUUCCUCACCCCUGACCUGAGAGCUUCCAGAGCAAUACUGUCCUACAGAUCUAUAUCGCCAGCCAUGUGGGUAAUUUAAAAUUUUCUAGCAGCCAAAUUAAAAAAUUUAAAAGAAACAGGGAAAUUAAUUUUCAUAAUACACUUUAGCCCCCAAACCUAAAAUAUUGUCAUUUCAACACAUAAUCAGUGUAUAAUGUGUUAAUGAGAUAUUUCACCUCCUUGUAUACAGUCUUUGAUAUUUGGUAUAUAUUUUACACUCUGCAAUACGUAAGUGCUCCAUAGCCAGAUCUGAGCAGUGCUACUGCAAGAGACUGCACAGUCCAAGAGUGAGAACCGUGGAUGGGUCCCCUCUGUAUCCACAGAGCCCAUCUCAGUGACUGAGAUAUAAAGGGACUCAUAAAUGCUUAUUUAAUGAAGAAAAUGGUGAACACAGACAACUCCUUCUGGGAUGUAUCAGUUUGCUAGGGCUGCUAUAACAAACCACUGCAAACUGGGUGAUUUAAACAACUGUGGCCUCACAGUUCUGGAAGCUAGGAGGCUGAGAUCAAGGCGUUCGCAGGGUUGGUUCCUUCUGAGGCUGUGAGUGAACAUCUAUUCAACGCCCUCUGGUGGUUUUCUGGCCAUCUUUGGUGUUCCUUGGCUUCUAUGCCAUCAUCUUGCUCUCUGUCUUCAUGUUCACAUGGCCUUCUCUCU